rnacentral:rRNA from 1 species
UAGGGAAUCUUCCGCAAUGGACGCAAGUCUGACGGAGCAACGCCGCGUGAGUGAAGAAGGAUUUCGGUUCGUAAAACUCUGUUGUUAGAGAAGAACAGCGCAUAGAGUAACUGUUAUGCGUGUGACGGUAUCUAACCAGAAAGCCACGGCUAACUACGUGCCAGCAGCCGCGGUAAUACGUAGGUCCCGAGCGUUGUCCGGAUUUAUUGGGCGUAAAGCGAGCGCAGGCGGUUAGAAAAGUCUGAAGUGAAAGGCUGUGGCUCAACCAUUGUAGGCUUUGGAAGCUGUUUAACUUGAGUGCAGAGGGGGAGAGUGGAAUUCCAUGUGUGGCGGUGGAAUGCGUAGAUAUAUGGAGGAACACCGGUGGCGAAAGCGGCUCUCUGGUCUGUAACUGACGCGGAGGCUCGAAAGCGUGGGGAGCGAACAGG